rnacentral:miRNA from 1 species
CUGUCGUAGGAGAGAUGGCGCC